GAUGAACGCUGGCGGCGUGCCUAAUACAUGCAAGUCGAGCGAACAGACGAGGAGCUUGCUCCUCUGACGUUAGCGGCGGACGGGUGAGUAACACGUGGAUAACCUACCUAUAAGACUUGGAUAACUUCGGGAAACCGGAGCUAAUACCGGAUAAUAUAUUGAACCGCAUGGUUCAAUAGUGAAAGACGGUUUUGCUGUCACUUAUAGAUGGAUCCGCGCCGCAUUAGCUAGUUGGUAAGGUAACGGCUUACCAAGGCAACGAUGCGUAGCCGACCUGAGAGGGUGAUCGGCCACACUGGAACUGAGACACGGUCCAGACUCCUACGGGAGGCAGCAGUAGGGAAUCUUCCGCAAUGGGCGAAAGCCUGACGGAGCAACGCCGCGUGAGUGAUGAAGGUCUUCGGAUCGUAAAACUCUGUUAUUAGGGAAGAACAAAUGUAUAAGUAAAUAUGCACGUAUUGACGGUACCUAAUCAGAAAGCCACGGCUAACUACGUG
rnacentral:rRNA from 1 species